CAACAGGGAUUGCCUCGUAACGGCGAGUGAAGCGGCAACAGCUCAAAUUUGAAAUCUGGCUCUCGGGCCCGAGUUGUAAUUUGUAGAGGAUGCUUUUGGUGCGGUGCCUUCCGAGUUCCCUGGAACGGGACGCCAUAGAGGGUGAGAGCCCCGUCUGGUUGGACGCCAAUCCUCUGUAAAGCUCCUUCGACGAGUCGAGUAGUUUGGGAAUGCUGCUCUAAAUGGGAGGUAUAUGUCUUCUAAAGCUAAAUACCGGCCAGAGACCGAUAGCGCACAAGUAGAGUGAUCGAAAGAUGAAAAGAACUUUGAAAAGAGAGUUAAAAAGUACGUGAAAUUGUUGAAAGGGAAGCGCUUGUGACCAGACUUGGGCUUGGUUGAUCAUCCAGGGUUCUCCCUGGUGCACUCUUCCGGCCCAGGCCAGCAUCAGUUCGCCCCGGGGGAAAAAGGCUUCGGGAAUGUGGCUCUCUCCGGGGAGUGUUAUAGCCCGCUGCGUAAUACCCUGUGGCGGACUGAGGUUCGCGCAUUCGCAAGGAU
rnacentral:rRNA from 1 species